AGUGAACGCUGGCGGCAGGCCUAACACAUGCAAGUCGAGCGGCAGCGCGGGGGCAACCCUGGCGGCGAGCGGCGGACGGGUGAGGAAUUCGUCGGAAUCUGCCUUUUUGUGGGGGAUAACGUAGGGAAACUUACGCUAAUACCGCAUACGUCCUACGGGAGAAAGUGGGGGACCGCAAGGCCUCACGCAGAAAGAUGAGCCGACGACCGUUUAGCUAGUUGGUGGGGUAAAGGCCCACCAAGGCGACGAUCGGUAGCUGGUCUGAGAGGAUGAUCAGCCACACUGGAACGGGAACGCGGCCCGGACGCCUCUGGGAGGCGGCAGUGGGGAAUGUUGGACAGUGGGCGCAAUCCUAGUCCAACCGGGCCGCGUGUGUGAAGAAGGCGUUCGGUUUGUUAAGCACUUUUGUUGGGAAAGAAGUCCCUGGAGCUAAUACCUUCGGGGGGUGACGGUACCGGAAGAAUAAGCACCGGCUAACUUCGUG
rnacentral:rRNA from 1 species